rnacentral:rRNA from 1 species
GGAUUAGAUACCCUGGUAGUCCACGCCGUAAACGAUGUCUACUAGCCGUUGGGGUACUUGAUACCUUAGUGGCGCAGCUAACGCACUAAGUAGACCGCCUGGGGAGUACGGCCGCAAGGUUAAAACUCAAAUGAAUUGACGGGGGCCCGCACAAGCGGUGGAGCAUGUGGUUUAAUUCGAUGCAACGCGAAGAACCUUACCAGGCCUUGACAUACAGAGAACUUUCCAGAGAUGGAUUGGUGCCUUCGGGAACUCUGAUACAGGUGCUGCAUGGCUGUCGUCAGCUCGUGCCG